AUUGAACGCUGGCGGCAGGCCUAACACAUGCAAGUCGAGCGGCAGCGGAAAGUAGCUUGCUACUUUGCCGGCGAGCGGCGGACGGGUGAGUAAUGUCUGGGAAACUGCCCGAUGGAGGGGGAUAACUACUGGAAACGGUAGCUAAUACCGCAUAACGUCGCAAGACCAAAGAGGGGGACCUUCGGGCCUCUUGCCAUCGGAUGUGCCCAGAUGGGAUUAGCUAGUAGGUGGGGUAACGGCUCACCUAGGCGACGAUCCCUAGCUGGUCUGAGAGGAUGACCAGCCACACUGGAACUGAGACACGGUCCAGACUCCUACGGGAGGCAGCAGUGGGGAAUAUUGCACAAUGGGCGCAAGCCUGAUGCAGCCAUGCCGCGUGUAUGAAGAAGGCCUUCGGGUUGUAAAGUACUUUCAGCGGGGAGGAAGGUGUUGAGGUUAAUAACCUCAGCAAUUGACGUUACCCGCAGAAGAAGCACCGGCUAACUCCGUGCCAGCAGCCGCGGUAA
rnacentral:rRNA from 1 species